rnacentral:rRNA from 1 species
UCCGAGGGGCGCAAGUGUUGUUCGGAAUCACUGGGCGUAAAGGGCGCGUAGGCGGGUUUUUAAGUUAGGUGUUUAAUCCCGGGGCCCAACCCCGGACCGGCACUUAAAACUGGGAAUCUUGAAUAGUGGAGAGGUCAGUGGAAUUGGGGGUGUAGCGGUGGAAUGCGUAGAGAUCCCCAAGAACACCAGUUGCGAAGGCGGCUGACUGGACACAUAUUGACGCUGAGGCUCGAAAGCAUGGGGAGCAAACAGG